CGACGAUACAAUCGAUGUCUGGCCUAACAUAAAUAGGCAUCGCAUUUUUGUAUGCGGCCGUUAGGAUGCCGAUAACCGAUUCUGGUAUCGCUCACGUCGGUCCUCGCAUCUCGUAACUAUACCAGUUCAUACCAUAGUAGUAGCCCCUGCGUGCUGGUUGGUAUCCCACUGCUGGGUAUAGGUGCUUUCGUCCAUUAGCCAUAGUGAAGAGCAUUACCGCAGCGAAAUCGGUAAAGCGGUUGAUGAAGUGACCGGGACGUCAAAAACGAGAACCGACAGGAUGGCCACCAUCAUCAGUAGCGUCGUUCAACGUUUUGAGCGGAUAAACGCUCAUCACCUAUAGAGCCACUUACGAUCUUCAGGUUCAACAGUUGUUAUUGUUGAUGGGGCGUCUAACGCUGGAGUCGACGACGCUCCAUGAUGCCGGCGAGUCAUGGGCGACGAUUUUGAUGACGGCAUAAUACGCACGGAUACUAUUUACCGGCGUGGUAACAUAACAAAACAUGUCAUGAAACGAGAAGCGAGGAUAUUGUGGCUAGUUCAUAGUCCGUACCUCCAUUGUCAGCGUAUUAAUCACAUAUGGCCACUUAUCCAGGUAUACGACACUGCAUGGCAGAAAGAAGGCAGAUACGCUGAAUACGAAGCGAAAUACGUACGAGGACCCCAAAAAAGAUACAACUAAAUCGCGUCCAGUCGACAUUAUUGUUAUAUCUAAAUAUAUACUGUACAAGUAAAAACGACAAAACUGUAACUUAUUUAUAUGCAAACACACGUGAAACAAUUGCUUUCCUUCUAUGUGCUCGGAAGCCAUUCAGCAUAGGUUGCAUUGAAAAUUAUCGCAACUAACGCGACUUCGGGCCAUCUACUUAUCGAAACGGCUGAAACGAACACUAUAAAUAUCCUACGCUUUCCUACAGACUGAGCAGAACAUCAGAGAAGCGAAGUUAAAUAACCCACGUUCAUAACGGUAUGGGCCAUUU